UACGUAGGGGGCAAGCGUUGUCCGGAUUUAUUGGGCGUAAAGAGCGUGUAGGCGGCCUGGAAGGUCAGCUGUGAAAACUCGAGGCUCAACCUCGAGACGUCGGUUGAAACCACCUGGCUAGAGUCCGGAAGAGGAGUGUGGAAUUCCCGGUGUAGCGGUGAAAUGCGCAGAUAUCGGAAAGAACACCCGUGGCGAAGGCGGCACUCUGGGACGGUACUGACGCUGAGACGCGAAAGCGUGGGGAGCGAACAGG
rnacentral:rRNA from 1 species